rnacentral:rRNA from 1 species
GGGGGGGGGGGGGGGGGGGGCGGGGGGGGGGGGGGGGGGCGAGGGGGGGGGGGGGGGGCGCCGGUUUGGGGAGCAGCGGACGGGUGAGUAACGCGUGGGGAAGCUGCCUUUGAGCGGGGGACAACAUUUGGAAACGAAUGCUAAUACCGCAUAACAGCUUUAAACAUAAGUUUUAAGUUUGAAAGAUGCAAUUGCAUCACUCAAAGAUGAUCCCGCGUUGUAUUAGCUAGUUGGUUAGGUAAAGGCUCACCAAGGCGAUGAUACAUAGCCGACCUGAGAGGGUGAUCGGCCACAGUGGGACUGAGACACGGCCCAAACUCCUACGGGAGGCAGCAGUAGGGAAUCUUCGGCAAUGGACGAAAGUCUGACCGAGCAACGCCGCGUGAGUGAAGAAGGGUUUCGGAUCGUAAAACUCUGUUGGUAGAGAAGAACGUUGGUGAGAGUGGAAAGCUCAUCAAGUGACGGUAACUACCCAGAAAGGGACGGCUAACUACGUG